UACGUAGGGACCGAGCGUUGUCCGGAAUUAUUGGGCGUAAAGAGCUCGUAGGCGGUUUGUCGCGUCUGCUGUGAAAACUCGGGGCUUAACUCCGGGCCUGCAGUGGGUACGGGCAGACUAGAGUGCGGUAGGGGAGACUGGAAUUCCUGGUGUAGCGGUGAAAUGCGCAGAUAUCAGGAGGAACACCGGUGGCGAAGGCGGGUCUCUGGGCCGUAACUGACGCUGAGGCACGAAAGCGUGGGGAGCAAACAGG
rnacentral:rRNA from 1 species